rnacentral:rRNA from 1 species
UACCCGCUGAAUUUAAGCAUAUCAAUAAGCGGAGGA